AGAAGGAUUUGGAAGCAGUUUUUUCAACAGUGUUUUAGUGAUGAUCUCCUCUCCUCUUUUUUGUGAUAUGAAGACAAAUUGUGAAAAUUGACUGAAAUACCUUUUUCUCUAGUAAAAGGUCCAUUGUAUAAGGAAGUCUCCAUCUCUAUCAUAAUGUUAACAACAGAAACCAUCUCAGAGGGGAAUUAAAUGCUUUCCAUGUAAAUGGACUUGUCAGUUGAAAAUACUGGCAGAACUGAACCAUUUCUUUCUGCUCACUGAUGGAAAGAGUGAGUCCUAACUCAGAUGAAACUGCAGAAGGAGUUGUGAAUUGUUUUGGAUAAUGUCGUGUGUUAGACUCCUCAGUCCACCCCUGUGCAAGUAAUAGCCUGACUGUCCUUGGCCCAUGGUGUAGUCCUACAAAAUGAUGUCCUGUUCUUGCACUGCUCUUUUCAUGGCAGAAUUCAUUUCUAUUUUCUUGGAGUGAGAAAGCUUAUAUUCAAGCCCUCUGUGUUAGAUGUGCCACUAGCACAUAUUCUAGUAUCAGAACCUUAAUUGGAAGAUGUUUAAAGUUUUCUGUCCUCUCUCAUUUCCUUUGCUUUGGGGUUCUCAGCAGCACUGGACGUGAUUUGAUGGAGCUCUGUGACAAGGGGGAGCAAGCAAGUGCCAAGAUACCAUGGUGACUGGCACUCGAAAGGCUGGUGAACUCUGGAAGUACCAAUUUCAGUCUCUCAUUAUGAGUGACGUGAAAGCGAUUCCUGUCGUAACGACUUCAUCUCCAUCUUUUUUCCUUCCCAGCGGAACACUCCCAGCCUUCCCCUGAAAUCAGAAAACUGCCAUGCAGGUUUCACUGUUGCUCUCUUUUGUCCACUUUCUUCCCAGUUCAGUGGCUCCUAACUUGAAGUGUCAUAAACUGCUGAUGUCUAAAAUUACCAGGGUAGUUAUUUUCUCCUUGAGAGAAAUGAGGGCAGACUUUCUUUGCA